rnacentral:rRNA from 1 species
AUUGAACGCUGGCGGCAUGCUUUACACAUGCAAGUCGAACGGUAACAGGCUGCAAGGUGGUGACGAGUGGCGAAGGGGUGAGUAAUGCAUCGGAACGCGUCCAGACCUGGGGGUUCGCUAGGCGUAAGAGAAGCUAAUUCCGCCUACGAUCUCAGGCUGAAUGCGGGGGAACGUAAGGGAUCGUCGGACCGGACGCGAUGGAAUCAGCCGAGGUCGGAUUAGGUGGUUGGUGGGGUAAAGGCACACCAAGGCCACGAUCCGUAGCUGGUCUGAGAGGACGAUCAGCCACACUGGAACUGAGACACGGCCCAGACUCCUACGGGAGGCAGCAGUGGGGAAUAUUGGACAAUGGGCGCAAGCCUGAUCCAGCAAUACCGCGUGGAUGAAGAAGGCCUUCGGGUUGUAAAGCGCUUUUGUAGGGAACGAAACGCCGCUGGUUAAUACCCCGCUCUAAUGACGGUACCGUAAGAAUAAGCACCGGCUAACUUCGUG